rnacentral:rRNA from 1 species
CCUACGGGAGGCAGCAGUGGGGAAUAUUGGGCAAUGGGCGCAAGCCUGACCCAGCAACGCCGCGUGAAGGAAGAAGGCUUUCGGGUUGUAAACUUCUUUUGGCAGGGAAGAGCAGAAGACGGUACCUGUCGAAUAAGCCACGGCUAACUACGUGCCAGCAGCCGCGGUAAUACGUAGGUGGCAAGCGUUGUCCGGAUUUACUGGGGGUAAAGGGCGUGUAGCCGGGGUGACAAGUCAGAUGUGAAAUCCGGGGGCUCAACCCCCGAACUGCAUUUGAAACUGUUGGUCUUGAGUAUCGGAGAGGCAGGCGGAAUUCCUAGUGUAGCGGUGAAAUGCGUAGAUAUUAGGAGGAACACCAGUGGCGAAGGCGGCCUGCUGGACGACAACUGACGGUGAGGCGCGAAAGCGUGGGGAGCAAACAGGAUUAGAUACCCCAGUAGUC